AUCAAGAGCUGUAUAUUAGGCGCUUGGAAAAUGGCAGAGGACAAUUCGUCUCCGUCGAUUCCAGGAACGUCAUCCAGCUCAACGACCAGCGACGAGAGACGCGCAGCUCCGAUACCCAUCGGAAAGUGUCCCAGAUGGCACAUUAGGAUACAAUUCUAGCAGCACAUCGGCUUUAUCGCAAAGAAGUAACAGAGAAUCACACGCAACCUGAGCAACCGUGACAUGCGAAGCCUGAAGACAGAAGAUAGAUAUAAUCAUUUAAUAUCGAUCAACUCCUGACAAGAAUAGAUUAUGUUUUAUAUAUUUUGUAUAAUUCAUCAACAUCGAAUUAGUAACAUACAUACACAUAGCAGUAGGCCAUGCAAAAUUAACAAUAUCCUCAUCAGAUAUGCAAGAAUCAGUCCAAAACUGUCAACAUCACAUAAUAAAUGGCCGACACAGCUACAUUGAGACGAAAAAAAAAAAAAAAAAAAAAAAAAAAAAAAAA